GGUGUAAUUGCGACGACUCAACCA
rnacentral:siRNA from 1 species